rnacentral:rRNA from 1 species
GAGUUUGAUCCUGGCUCAGAUUGAACGCUGGCGGAAUGCUUUACACAUGCAAGUCGAGCGGCAGCGCGGGGCAACCUGGCGGCGAGCGGCGAACGGGUGAGUAAUGCAUCGGAACGUGUCCAUGUCGUGAGGGAUAGCCCGGCGAAAGCCGGAUUAAUACCGCAUACGCCCGAGAGGGGAAAGUGGGGGACCGCAAGGCCUCACGCGAUUGGGUCGGCCGAUGUCCGAUUAGCUAGUUGGCGGGGUAAAGGCCCACCAAGGCGAUGAUCGGUAGCUGGUCUGAGAGGACGAUCAGCCACACUGGGACUGAGACACGGCCCAGACUCCUACGGGAGGCAGCAGUGGGGAAUUUUAGGACAAUGGGGGCAACCCUGAUCCAGCCAUUCCGCGUGAGUGAAGAAGGCC